rnacentral:rRNA from 1 species
AAUCAACGCUGGCGGCGUGCCUAACACAUGCAAGUCGAACGCGAAAGUGGAGCAAUCCAUGAGUAGAGUGGCAAACGGGUGAGUAAUACGUGGGUGACCUGCCUUAGAGUGGGGGAUAACGUCCCGAAAGGGACGCUAAUACCGCAUAACAUGCUGCCUUUUAAGAGGUGGACAUCAAAGCCGGGGACCGCAAGGCCUGGCGCUUAAAGAGGGGCCCGCGCCUGAUUAGCUAGUUGGUGGGGUAAUGGCUCACCAAGGCAACGAUCAGUAUCCGGCCUGAGAGGGCGGACGGACACACUGGGACUGAGACACGGCCCAGACUCCUACGGGAGGCAGCAGUGGGGAAUUGUUCGCAAUGGGCGCAAGCCUGACGACGCAACGCCGCGUGGAGGAUGAAGAUCUUCGGGUUGUAAACUCCUUUCGAUCGAGACGAAUGGCCCUUGGGCUAACAUCCUGAGGGAGUGACGGUACCGAGAGAAGAAGCCCCGGCUAACUCCGUGCCAGCAGCCGCGGUAA